rnacentral:rRNA from 1 species
AAGUAGUGGCGAGCGAAAGGGGAAGAGCCCAAACCGAUGGAAGCAAUUCCAUCGGGGUUGCGGGGCUGUUUCGGGGUGUAGCCCGGGAAGUUACCAAGUCAGGUCAUAUCUGAAGGCUCUUGGAAAAAACAACCAAAGAGGGUGAUAGUCCCGUAAGAUAAAUGACACUGACCUUCCUGGAAACAGUUCCCAAGUACCGCGGGACACGUGAAAUCCCGCGGGAAGCCGGGAGGACCAUCUCCCAAGGCUAAAUACUCACUUGCGACCGAUAGUGAACUAGUACCGUGAGGGAAAGGUGAAAAGAACCCCAGUGAGGGGAGUGAAAUAGUACCUGAAACCAUGUGCCUACAAGCAGUGGGAGGGCAAUGUCCUAAGCUUCGGCGAAGGAUAAGCCUGACCGCGUGCCUUUUGCAUAAUGAGUCUGCGAGUUACUCUACGCAGCAAGGUUAAGCCGACUGAGGUGGAGCCGUAGCGAAAGCGAGUCUUAAAUGGGCGAUUCAGUUGCGUGGAGUAGACCCGAAGCGGGAUGAUCUACCCAUGGCCAGGGUGAAAUUUCGGUAACACGAAAUGGAGGCCCGAACUGGUGAAGGUUGAAAACUUCUCGGAUGAGCUGUGGGUAGGAGUGAAAGGCUAAUCAAAUUCCGUGAUAGCUGGUUCUCCCCGAAAUAUAUUGAGGUAUUGCCUCGUGUUUAGCGGACGGAGGUAGAGCACUGGACGGGCUAAGGUCCUUACCGGGAUACUAAACCUAACCAAACUGCGAAUUCCGUCUUGCCGUAUCACGGGAGUCAGACUACGGGAGAUAAGUUCCGUGGUCGAAAGGGAAAGAGCCCAGAUCGCCAGCUAAGGUCCCGAAAUAUGUGCUCAGUGGGAAAGGAUGUGGAAACGCACAGACAACCAGGAGGUUGGCUUAGAAGCAGCCACCCUUUAAAGAAAGCGUAACAGCUCACUGGUCGAGUGAGUCCGCGCCUAAGAUGUAACGGGGCUAAGCACAUUACCGAAGCCGCGAAUUUAAUGAUCUCUACGGAGAUUAUUAUCUGGUAGGGGAGCAUUCUAGUCGCCUGUGAAGGUAGACCGUAAGGACUACUGGAGGUUCUAGAAGAGAUUCUGCAGACAUGAGUAGCGAUAAAAUAGGUGAGAAACCUAUUCGCCGUAAGUCUAAGGUUUCCUGGGUAAAGUUAAUCUUCCCAGGGUUAGUCGGUUCCUAAGCCGAGGCCGAAAGGCGUAGGUGAUGGACAGCAGGUUAAUAUUCCUGCACCACCGAUGGUGCGUUAUCAGCGAAGGGGGGACGGAGAAGGAUAGGUCAUCCGGGUGUUGGAUGUCCCGGUUCAAGCCGGUAGGCGGACCUGGUAGGCAAAUCCGCCGGGUCGUUAACGCCGAGAGGUGAUGACGAGUCCCGAAAGGGACGCAAAGUGACUGAUUCCACGCUUCCAAGAAAAUCCUCGUAGCGAGUGCCAUAGGUGACCGUACCGCAAACCGACUCAGGUAGACGGGUAGAAUAUACCAAGGCGCUUGAGAGAACUCUGGUUAAGGAACUCUGCAAAUUGACACCGUAACUUCGGAAGAAGGUGU